UAUCACUGUUGUUUAUUAGUGCUUAUACAAAACCAUCAACGCAACGUUGUUUCCCGUUUGAUCAUUUAUAAACGUAUAUGUUUGCUAUAAGCGCUACUAAUGUUCAAUAAAAAUCGAUUAACCACUUCUAAAACAAACUGGUAACACUGACUUUCUGUUCAUGGUGUCUGAAUGUCAAACCAAAACAACAACAGUUCUGUCGAUCUCUUUUUCCGUAUUAGUUUUUUUUAUUGUGAAAAAUGGGUAAAGACUAUUUUGUGGUGGUACAAACAAUAGAGGCUGGUAAGCCAGUGUUGACAGUGGUCCCACACAAAUGGGUGGAUGGGAAUACUCUCUUAUGGCCCCCCAAGCAGGCAAAUGAACUACGGAAGAAUGCUGCAUCGUUGCCCAUGUCCUCCUGGAGUAAAAUGUCCUGUUCAGUGAAACGUAAAUAUAUUCCAACUUUCGCGGAUGCUGAACAAGAGGCUGACGAACUUUCGGGCCUAUCCACCGACGCUUCAGAUUUUGCUCCAAGGCGCAAGAAGAAGUUCAAGAAACCGGCAUUCAACAAGGAGAUUGAUUUAAACCAUCUGGUAAC